AGAGUUUGAUCCGGGCUCAGAUUGAACGCUGGCGGCAGGCUUAACACAUGCAAGUCGAGCGGCAGCGGAAAGAAGCUUGCUUCUUUGCCGGCGAGCGGCGGACGGGUGAGUAAUGUCUGGGGAUCUGCCCGAUGGAGGGGGAUAACUACUGGAAACGGUAGCUAAUACCGUAUAAUGUCGCAAGACCAAAGUGGGGGACCUUCGGGCCUCACACCAUCGGAUGAACCCAGAUGGGAUUAGCUAGUAGGUGGGGUAAUGGCUCACCUAGGCGACGAUCCCUAGCUGGUCUGAGAGGAUGACCAGCCACACUGGAACUGAGACACGGUCCAGACUCCUACGGGAGGCAGCAGUGGGGAAUAUUGCACAAUAGGGGAAACCCUGAUGCAGCCAUGCCGCGUGUGUGAAGAAGGCCUUCGGGUUGUAAAGCACUUUCAGCGGGGAGGAAGGCAAUGGCGUUAAUAGUGUCAUUGAUUGACGUUACCCGCAGAAGAAGCACCGGCUAACUCCGUGCCAGCAGCCGCGGUAAUACGGAGGGUGCGAGCGUUAAUCGGAAUUACUGGGCGUAAAGCGUACGCAGGCGGUCUGUUAAGUCAGAUGUGAAAUCCCCGGGCUUAACCUGGGAACUGCAUUUGAAACUGGCAGGCUAGAGUCUCGUAGAGGGGGGUAGAAUUCCAGGUGUAGCGGUGAAAUGCGUAGAGAUCUGGAGGAAUACCGGUGGCGAAGGCGGCCCCCUGGACGAAGACUGACGCUCAGGUACGAAAGCGUGGGGAGCAAACAGGAUUAGAUACCCUGGUAGUCCACGCUGUAAACGAUGUCGAUUUGAAGGUUGUG
rnacentral:rRNA from 1 species